rnacentral:rRNA from 1 species
CAGUCGCCGCGGUAAUACAGAGGGUGCGAGCGUUAAUCGGAUUUACUGGGCGUAAAGCGUGCGUAGGCGGCUUCUUAAGUCGGAUGUGAAAUCCCUGAGCUUAACUUAGGAAUUGCAUUCGAUACUGGGAAGCUAGAGUAUGGGAGAGGAUGGUAGAAUUCCAGGUGUAGCGGUGAAAUGCGUAGAGAUCUGGAGGAAUACCGAUGGCGAAGGCAGCCAUCUGGCCUAAUACUGACGCUGAGGUACAAAAGCAUGGGGAGCAAACAGGAUUAGAUACCCCAGUAGUCCCUGUCUCUUAUAC